AUACCCAUCCCAUCUCUUCAUCCAAGCAGAGAGAUGGGGGUCUCCCUAUGUUGCCCAGGCUGGUCUCGAACUCCUGGACUCAAAAGAUUCUUCUGCCUUGGCCUCCCAAAGUGCUGGGAUUACAAGCAUGAGCCACCACACCUGGCCCAGGAUUGAAAGCUGUGGAUCACACCGCUGUAGUACCCCAGCCUCUCUACUGCUCCCAGAACACAUCCACACACUUUGAACCCUGACCUUGAAGCUCUGAUUCCUGAGUCCUAGUUGAAAGGGCCUCACAACAACCCACGAGAUCGGUGAUGACUGCCCCCAUUUGCCAGCUUUGCAGGGAGAGGUCAAGACCAAGACGAUCUUCAGGCCCAAGGGAGGUAGGGAGGAGGCUUGCAAAGCCCACCCCUGGGAAGAGGCCUCGCAACAACCCACGAGAUCUGUGAUGACUGCCCCCAUUUGCCAGAUGAGAAGCUGAGGCUCGGAGAUAUUGAGGAAUCUGUCGAGCGUGUUGCUCCACAGAGCUGACAGCUUCCCACAGUGUGUGAGAUGUGCCACAGCCAGGGGAGAUCUCGGGAAAAACA
rnacentral:lncRNA from 1 species